UACAGAGGGUGCAAGCGUUGUUCGGAAUUACUGGGCGUAAAGCGCGCGCAGGCGGGUCUGUAAGUCGGAAGUGAAAUUGCACUGCUCAACGGUGUAGCUGCUUCUGAUACUGGCAGACCUUGAGACCGGUAGAGGUUGGUAGAAUUGCAGGUGUAGCGGUGGAAUGCGUAGAGAUCUGCAAGAAUACCCGUGGCGAAGGCGGCCAACUGGGCCGGUUCUGACGCUGAGGCGCGAAGGUCAGGGGAGCAAACGGG
rnacentral:rRNA from 1 species